rnacentral:rRNA from 1 species
AACGAACGCUGGCGGCAUGCCUAACACAUGCAAGUCGAACGAGACCUUCGGGUCUAGUGGCGCACGGGUGCGUAACGCGUUGGAACCUGCCCUUAGGUUCGGAAUAACUCCCCGAAAGGGGUGCUAAUACCGGAUAAUGUCUUCGGACCAAAGAUUUAUCGCCUUUGGAUGGGCACGCGUUGGAUUAGCUAGUUGGUAGGGUAAAAGCCUACCAAGGCGACGAUCCAUAGCUGGUCUGAGAGGAUGAUCAGCCACACUGGGACUGAGACACGGCCCAGACUCCUACGGGAGGCAGCAGUGGGGAAUAUUGGACAAUGGGCGAAAGCCUGAUCCAGCAAUGCCGCGUGAGUGAUGAAGGCCUUAGGGUUGUAAAGCGCUUUUACCCGGGAUGAUAAUGACAGUACCGGGAGAAUAAGCGCCGGCUAACUCCGUG